CGAGUAUGCUGGAUAGUCGCGGGGGCAGGGCGAAAGCCCGUCCAUGAGGAAAGUCCGGGCUCCACAGGGCAAGGAUAGCGGGUAACGCCCGCCGAAGGCGACUUCAGGAAAAGUGCAACAGAGAUAUACCGCCCGUCGGCUUUGCGUCGAUGAGGUAAGGGUGGAAAGGCGAGGUAAGAGCUCACCCGACGGCGUGUGAAAGCGACCGUCGCUGUAAACUCUAUCCGGAGCAACACCGGUAUGGGAGCAUAGGCCGGCCCGGCUGCUCCCGAGGUGGCUUGAGCGUACCGGCGACGGCACGCGUAGAUAGAUGACUAUCAAAACAGAACCCGGCUUAUAGGCAUACUCGCACG
rfam:Firmicutes bacterium CAG:176 genomic scaffold, scf50